rnacentral:rRNA from 1 species
GAUCCUGGCUCAGGAUGAACGCUAGCUACAGGCUUAACACAUGCAAGUCGAGGGGCAGCAUGACCUAGCAAUAGGUUGAUGGCGACCGGCGCACGGGUGAGUAACACGUAUCCAACCUACCGGUUAUUCUGGGAUAGCCUUUCGAAAGAAAGAUUAAUACCGGAUAGCAUAACGAGAAGGCAUCUUCUUGUUAUUAAAGAAUUUCGAUAACCGAUGGGGAUGCGUUCCAUUAGUUUGUUGGCGGGGUAACGG